ACCAGACUCCUACGGGAGGCAGCAGUGGGGGAUAUUGCACAAUGGGGGGAACCCUGAUGCAGCGACGCCGCGUGGGUGAAGAAGCGCCUCGGCGCGUAAAGCCCUGUCAGCAGGGAAGAAAAUGACGGUACCUGACUAAGAAGCCCCGGCUAACUACGUGCCAGCAGCCGCGGUAAUACGUAGGGGGCAAGCGUUAUCCGGAAUCACUGGGUGUAAAGGGAGCGUAGACGGCUGUGCAAGCCUGAAGUGAAAGGCGGGGGCCCAACCCCUGGACUGCUUUGGGAACUGUACGGCUGGAGUGCAGGAGAGGUAAGUGGAAUUCCUAGUGUAGCGGUGAAAUGCGUAGAUAUUAGGAGGAACACCAGUGGCGAAGGCGGCUUACUGGACUGUAACUGACGUUGAGGCUCGAAAGCGUGGGGAGCAAACAGGAUUAGAGACCCUCGUAC
rnacentral:rRNA from 1 species